CGUCUACUUUGCUUUUGCAGAGCUUUUCGGAACAGGUCAUGCUCCAUAAAGCGUUUGCAAAAAGAGAACUAAGAAGAGACAACGGUCUUGGUCACACUUUUUGCCAAAUGAGCAUCUAAUUUCGUGCAUUAUUGACAAGCUGCCAGUUAACCGGCAUGGAUGAGGGUCUCUGCAGUAGUGAGGGAGGGUUAUAUGAGAUCAACACGUGUAUAUGGCAUUAUGAAUAAUAGAAUGAGCACCUGAUGCAAUGUGGGAAUUCAUCCUUCGCCAGAUAGAUGCCUUGACAAUUUUAAGAAAGAAUUUGCUCUAGUUAUCUUAAGAGCAAAAGUAAGAUACAAAGAGCCUAUGUCACAAUGGUUAGAAGGCUUUGUGUAAUUGCUCAGAUCUUCUUUUUAACCUUUUUUGUAUC